UAAGGGACUAAGGGUACCUUGCCAAGGAAUGGAAUUUGAGUGUGAUCUUGCAGGCUGAAUAGGAGAUUGCCAUAAGCAGAAGGAGAAGCAAAACAGGCAAGCAGAGGUGACAAAUUGUACAAGGGACUGAGACAUAGUGAGUAAUCCGCUAUGGCAAGAACAUAAGAUGAUGUGUGACUGCGAUCCAGAGUGUCAGAGAUGAUUCUGGAAAGAGUAUCUUGAACCAUCCAAACCACAAACAUCUCCAGCACAUGGUUUCCAUUAUAACAAUCCUGGGUAUCUGUCAAAAGUGAAGAGCAGGAGGUUGUAACUCUGAGGAGAGAAGACAGACUGGAGAGCCAAUCAAAUUUCAAACUAUACUUUGCUGUGGGCAUGGAUGGAGAAGCAGGUCACAUCUGAUGAAUGAAGAGGAGCUUCCAAGCAGCCAAAGUAAAGUAUUUUGCUACACAAACUGCAGGAUCAAUGUUCGUGUUUUGAAGCUCAAGAGAUUGACAGCUGUAGAAAUUAAGUUCCAGAAUAUAUCCACCAGCCAGGUUCAUAAUUGUCUCAGAAGUGGCCCUGGGAAACCCAAACAGCUCCAAGGACCACUAUACCAGGCCACUCCGCUUCUCUAAUAAAAUAUUUCUACCACUACUCUUAAAAUUUGUUUUUAAAAUUUAAUUUUUAAGAGCUGUUUUAGGUUUACAACAAAA
rnacentral:lncRNA from 1 species